rnacentral:misc_RNA from 2 species
CAACCCUCGAGCCCCCCGUGGCCCGGCGUUGGGGAUCUGCCACGGCAGGCCCCUAAAACCAGUGGCGGACCCGCUGGGCCCUCUCCUUUGCGUAGUAGCAUCAGCCUCGCAUCGGGAGCCCUCGGCGUCCUGCCUCUAAACCCCCCACAAGCCCGCUCCGGCGGCACCAA